ACACUUAUUCGAUAUUGGUAAUGCAGAGUCAUUUGAUGGGGUGCGAAGCAGUACAUCCGACAAGUUCUCUUGCUGAAAUGUUGCUGAUUCGAACUGGUUGUUUGUGAUGCUACAUGUGAUGUAUAAAAAAUGGACAGAGAUGGUAAGAUUACAUCUGUAAGUACUGAUUUGUCUGCUUGAGGUUUGGAACAAGUGCAGAGAAUCCAAGUACGCUCCAGGUCAUCUACUGCCUUAAACUGUAUCUAAAAGGGCUUCCUUGAUGCUGUCGACGCAAGAUAGCCUCCCAAUGCCACACCUACCUUGUCAGCUCGCCUCAAUAAAUGAAGCUUGGCGGUGUGCACGGCAGUGCUGAUGUGAACCGGGAUGGGCUCUUCCGCAUGCGACGACAUCUCUGCAUCGACCCUCUCUCUCAUAUAUAUGAACUUCAUUUUUAUGUACAGAAUAUCUAGACUUCAGUUCAUUACAGGACGCAGUGUGUUACACUAGCAGUACAUAAAAGUUUCUCCAUGUAUCAAAAAACAGAAGUUCAUUUAUAUGGUGUAGAUUUGAUGCGGUUGAUAUGAGAAACAAAGUUUACUUCGCUUAA